GAUGAAGAACGUAGCGAAAUGCGAUAAGUAAUGUGAAUUGCAGAAUUCAGUGAAUCAUCGAAUCUUUGAACGCACAUUGCGCCCGCCAGUAUUCUGGCGGGCAUGCCUGUCUGAGCGUCAUUUCAACCCUCAUGCCCCUAGGGCGUGGUGUUGGGGAUCGGCCAAAGCCCGCGAGGGACGGCCGGCCCCUAAAUCUAGUGGCGGACCCGUCGUGGCCUCCUCUGCGAAGUAGUGAUAUUCCGCAUCGGAGAGCGACGAGCCCCUGCCGUUAAACCCCCAACUUUCCAAGGUUGACCUCAGAUCAGGUAGGACUACCCGCUGAACUUAAGCAUAUCAAUAAGCGGAGGA
rnacentral:misc_RNA from 1 species